GACUGUAAAGUUAACUUUAAAAGGCUUUUGGUUAAGCUAACAAAGGGCAAAUGUGAAGACUUAAGUAACAUUUAGCACAUGAUGAUUUUUUUUAAAAAAAACCAAUUUGCACCUAAGUUUGGGGUGGAGACAUCUUAAAAAAUAUAAAUAGGCUUAGAAUUUUUUUUCAUAUGAAUUGUGACCUGUUAUUAACUUUUUCUGAGCCAGACAGAAAAUUGAAUGCAAACUGGGGAACAGUGCUUAAUGACAGUGACAUUUCCUGACAGAGCAAUUCUUUGCAUAUCAACUGUGCUAAUUAUGCUUGAGCAGACAGCAGCAGUUUAACCCAUUCACCAAAGGACAUUUCCUUUUGCAAAGCUUGUGAUCCAAACUUUCAUUUAGAUAGAGGUCUUCUCCAGCACAUUACAAUUUAAGGGCAAAAUAAAAUUUAAAACGAUAAAUGAAAGCAUGAGCAGUAUCUUGAUAUGUUGUGUAUCCCCACGAAGAGACUGAAGAAGAGCAGGUUUGGAAAGGCCCCUAUCCUCACCUGAAAACGGUGGAGGUGAGUCUCCCUCAUGCCUUAUAAAUUCUAGCAGGGAUGGUGCAAUUGAUUAAGUCAAGGAGAUGAUAAAUGCCUGGUUGAGAGGGAAGUGGUCUAAAAGUAGCUGCAAUGUGACCUUUCCUGAGGAAACUCUUAUACAGACCCAGAAGAUCUAAAUACAGUGGUACCUCGGGUUAAGAACUUAAUUCGUUCUGGAGGUCCGUUCUUAACCUGAAACUGUUCUUAACCUGAAGCACCACUUUAGCUAAUGGGGCCUCCUGCUGCCGCUGCGUGAUUUCUGUUCUCAUCCUGAAGCAAAGUUCUUAACCCGAGGUACUAUUUCUGGGUUAGCAGAGUCUGUAACCUGAAGCAUCUGUAACCUGAAGCAUCUAUAACCCAAUGUACCACUGUAGCUUUAGGCUGGUCACAGAUGGACAAGUUUCUUGAGGAGGUGUUUGCUGACCCGAUCCAGACACUCUCGGACAAGACUGUUUUUUCUGUAUCCAUUUCAGUUGGGGUCCGAGCCUGGAUUCAGUGCUAAAGCUGCCUUAAUUGCCCUGUAUAAUGACCUGUGUAAAGUGAAAAACUUCCCCUGAAGUUGCAAGUUUGUAGCCUGAGGUGCUUCUGGAACUAUUACAGUACUGUCACUAUAGGAAAAACUCAAUUCUUCUUGAGAGUCUUCUUUUAGAGCGACUAUCCAAGUUGCAUGUGGAGGGGUGUACUGCUUUUCAGUGGUUUUGGUUCUGUUUGGACAGUCAACUCCAGCUGGUGCUGUGCGGUUCCCCCUGCUAUUUAACAUCCAUUUAAAUCGCUGAGUGAGGUCACUUUGAGUUUUGGAGUGUGUCGCUAGCCUGCCUUUGUCCCUGGUUAACAGAAUAAUAGAAAGUUAAAUUCAAAGUAUAGCAUCUAAUUGUGCUAUCAUUUCCUAGCCUCAUACCAUUGAAACUUACUAGAAAAGAUCUCCUAAACGCACAAAGUAUAAAUAACUGUGACACUGGCAGACAUUUCGGUUGGCCAAGGGUGUGAGAGAAGCAACACACACAAAAAUAUUCAGCAUCCUUCCUGUCAUCACCAACAUCAACUUAAAACCUUGAUAUAAUCGAAACACAGUUUAAUUGCAUGAGAGAAAAUGUCAUUCACAGUCAAGAGGCAUCGAGUCAUCACUUUCACACAAGUUGUCAGUUCAGUUUAGUCUGUGUUGAAUUUACGAUAGACUAUAGCAAAAGAACUUAUCAUCAAAUAUCUGCAAAGGUCUUCACAAAGGUUAACCUAAAAUCCAGAAGUUAUCUUUAUUGCAAUAAUUUCAGUAUGCUGAUGAGGACGCCAAUGACUUGGAAAGUAACCAAAGUUCUCAGAGGCAAAAGGCCAUCAUGCGGUCCAGCAAACAAUUAGACCAUAAAAACAUUUUGUAUGGAAGACUCACUUUUGGUAAACUUGAUAUCACUUACAUGACUGAACAACAGAUGGAGCUUCAACAUUCAGAUGUACAUGUCAUAAAUAUUAUAGAAAGCUUAUGGUAGUGGCAUAGCUGGAGUAUAUUUUUUAUGUUGGACAAAAAUUAAACAUGAAUUAAAGCUGUUUCUGUUAAAACAAAUUAUUGAAAUGUGAAAGUGAUAUGCAUUGCGUCCAUGAUUUCUCCCAUUCUGUCUUACAUUGUGGUAGUGGUAGAAUAUUCUGUGUUAUAAUUGUAUCAUCAUAUGGCAACCUAGAGGGUUGGGUUUCCCAAUGGAGAAUGAAAAAAAUUCAACUUUUUUCAGUAAGUCUUGUUAUCAUUUAGAAAUAAAACUCAAAUUUACAUGAUUGUGCAUAAUAGAGAGUGGAAUAAACAAUAUAUUUACUUAAAGGAAGAUUUCCUCCCCCCCC